UGCAAAAGUUCAAUGUUUCUGAUGAAAUAAUCGCAAAACGGACAAGGUGGCAUCGAAUCACAAUGAUACGCGAACUUCCAGUGAACAAGCAGUCUCUGGGGUCAAGGUUGACCCAACGACCAUCAACAAAUAUGCACGAGGCCAAAGAAUGUCAUUUGUUCAGCUUCAGCAGCAGACAAGGGAAAGAUGCCAGGAGAUUUGGGACCGGCAAGUUCAGUCUCUCACAGCCAUUGAGGAAGGUGCCAAUGACUCUGAGUCAAAUAGUGAAUUGGACUCUUUCGCUGGCGAUCUGGAGAACUUGCUUGAUGCAGAGGAAUGCGAAGGUGAAGCAUUGAUUAAGGAACCCUAGCAUGACCGAUUUGAGGGUGUGAAGAGAAUUAAGAUAAGGAGAUAUCUAUCCCAAACUUAGGCUCAGGAGAAGGAUUGAGGACAAGGCUGCUGAAGCAGCUGAGCUAUGCAAGAUGCUAAUGGAUGAUGAAAAGAUGGAGUUAACAAAGAAGAAGAAGGCUGGACCUGCGCGGAAGGAAGGUGGGCUUGUGGGCCCACAUUUAGGCUUUGGUUCCGAGAACGUAGAGCAUAACAAGAGGCCUUCAAGCAAAUUACCAGUUCAACUCAGCCUGACAAGGCUUACAAUUCUAUGGAGAACAUUUCGCGGGCAAAAUGGAUGAGGAAGCUCCGGUUGUCAAGAAUUAUUUUCUGCCCAAAGUGAAAGCAAAAUAUUUAAGAAGAAGAUAUCAGGUAGAGAGAAUUUUGUCUGCAGAGCCUGCGGUCAGGUACGUAGCCCUGCAAAUAUUCUUGGCCCAAGGCAAUGUAACAACAGCUUAGAGUAACUUACUCUGAUAACUCUGGUUAUUCGAAAAAGCUGGGCAAACUUGUUUAUGCCUGACUCAAAAACAAAGAUAUUGCAUCAGAAAACUGAACUUUUUGCCCAAUAUAU